AGCAGCCGCGGUAAUUCCAGCUCCAAUAGCGUAUAUUAAAGUUGUUGCAGUUAAAAAGCUCGUAGUUGAAUUUCGGGAUUAGUAGGUUGGUCGUGCCUCUGGUAUGUACUCGCCUUACUGGUUCCUCCUUCUUGAAGAACUGUAAUGCCAUUAAUUUGGUGUUGCAGGGAAACAGGACUGUUACUUUGAAAAAAUUAGAGUGUUUAAAGCAGGCCGACGCCUGAAUACAUUAGCAUGGAAUAAUGAAAUAGGACGUUGAUCCUAUUUUGUUGGUUUCUAGGAUUGACGUAAUGAUUAAUAGGGAUAGUUGGGGGCAUUAGUAUUCAAUUGUCAGAGGUGAAAUUCUUGGAUUUAUUGAAGACUAACUACUGCGAAAGCAUUUGCCAAGGAUGUUUUCAUUAAUCAAGAACGAGAGUUAGGGGAUCGAAGACGAUCAGAUACCGUCGUAGUCUUAACCAUAAACUAUGCCGACUAGGGAUCGGAUGAUGUUAAUUUU
rnacentral:rRNA from 1 species